rnacentral:tRNA from 1 species
GGGCCAGUAGCUCAGCUGGGAGAGCGCAGGAUUUGCAUUCCUGAGGUCAGGGGUUCGAUCCCCCUCAGCUCCA